CUUGUGUUGUUAUUAGUGGCUACCUGAUGAAACAAUUUUCUUGAUUCAAUAGAAUCCCAAAGUGAUGAAUAGAGUCAGCCCCCAGAUAGGGAGGUACACACUAACACAUACACACGUACUGAACGAAGAGUUCGAGAGUUGCCUCCAUAAACUUGGUUCCUUACACUCAUUUCAUCAUAAGACUAAGGGAAGUGAGGGAUUUGGUUGAGGAUUUAAAAAAGGAAUCAUUCAUUUCUUCUUCUGCCAUCCAUUGCUAAUGUGACUCUCAAGUCAGAGGCUUUAGGGAAGUAGAUUUAUUGCUUAAGUAACUUUUCUUUUCCACUCAUAUUUAUGAACGUGUUGAAAUACUUGUAUUGAAGUUGCUCAAGGAAGAGGUAACUCUAUGCACAUAAGUGGUUGCUUGAAACCUUCAAUUUUUGUGGGCCUCUAAAUGAAUCUCCUGUUCAGGUUAUUUUAAUUUUGUGGACCAUUGAUUUGUAUCAAGUUCUUUAUUUUUCUUUUCCAUUUUACCAAUCUUGAUAAAAUAACAGUUUGGAUUUUUUUUUUUAUUUGGACUUUAGCACAACUUGUGACGAGGGCACUGUCUUAUUGAGAAUUUUCAGUCUUGGAUGUGCCAGUUUUUUUAUAGGGUGUUCUAAAGCCAUAGACUGAUUUCAGUGCCUUUAUUAUACAUCUAACUUUUUGGCAGGAUGCAGAGAGUGCUAUCAAUGACUUGAAUGGUUUGGCAUUUAAGAACUUUUCCUUGCUUGGUUUCAUCAUUCUGCACUCUCUAGAAAGUAUUGGCACAGAUGAUUGAUGUGUUUUACACUCUGAAUUGUAGGUAAAUGGCUUUCGAAUAGGCAAAUAAGAUGCAACUUGGCACCUAGAGGCUCUGGAUCCAGUGAAGACAAGCAAAUUGGUAAUAAUCAAAAUGCAGUUGUACUUACCAGUGGAUCGUCAGAAGGAGUCCAAGAAAAUGCUAACAAGGAUGCUUGUGAAAACAAUCCUGCAUAAACUACUGUCUGUGUUGGUAAUAUUUCCCAUAAGGUAAUUGAAGGAUGUAGAAUAAAGGAAUCGAUAUAUUAUGCUAUUGCUUUGCUUAUACAUUUAAUCUUUUCCAUUACUGAUGUCCAUAAGAGGGAACUUUGAUUCCAUAUGGGUCCCUUGAUGAAUAGUAACUUCUUAUAAGACUGUAGUUUUAUACUACUGUCAGUUCUGUGAAUUUUCAAAUUAUAAUUGAAGUGUUUUAGGAGCAAAUAAUUUCAGUAAUAAGUUUUCCCCUUAUAUUUAAUAAGCUUUUUGUUAAUAAAAUUUCUAGAAUAUUUUCUGCUGUUGUUUUUAUGAGAAAUAUUGUCCUAGUUGGAUUGAAUGUCACAACUGGUGAACAAUGAAUCAGUUGCCGUUGGUGUAAGAAAGUAGGACUGUAGGAGGCUAGUUGCAAAAUUAAGUGAAGAACCACCCUUAAGAGCUCUGUUGGGAACUUUUCUUUAUUGGAUGCCCCACUGAAAUUUCCUUGAGGUUGUUUGCACUUCUUCCAGAUGUGUGCUAAUGCUCUUUAUGUUGCACCUUCUCAUUUUGUUUCUGAUAGGUUUUGUUGGUCUUCUUUGUAAUCUGCUUUUGGUACGACAAUUCCUAUACUUUUUCCAUUAAACUUUUGAACUCUGUUUUCAUGUUGUCUUGUCACUCUGUAACUAUGAUUACUUUUAGUUAUAAUCAUCUUAUCCAUUUCAGUGCAAACAAUGAUGUUAGCUCUUGAAUUUUUCCUUCACAAUUUGGUUUGUGCAAUAAGGUAACUCAAGCUGAGCUUCAUUGUCAAUUUCAUGCUCUUGGGGCUGGGGUAAUUGAGGAAGUGAAAGUUCAGGGAGAUAAAGGUUCUGGAUUUAUAAGAUAUAAUACUCAUGAAGAAGCAGCCUCCGCCACUCAGAUGGCCAAUGGAAAUAUAAUUUCAGGAAAGCCCAUGAAGAUGGCCUUUACGGCAUCAUGAUGCUCUGGAGAGGGGAGCUUUUGCAUGGCUAUAAUAAGGUCCAAAAUACACAAUUCAAAUGUUACCUCAACUUACCACACUUGCAAACUUUACUGUGUGUAGUCAAUGCCAUCGUUAGCUGUCAUUCCCAUUCACAUUAAUGGUAUGUUGAUAGCUACGAGGUUAACGUGCCCAUCAUUUAUGUCAUAUGCCCAGAUCUUGCAUGAUGAAGAUUUUAUUUCUGCUUUACCCAGCGGCUGACUAUUAACCUUGUAGUGCCUUGCUUUCUAUUAUGGAAAAUUUUCAACUUGCAUUGUUAUGGUUUGUGAAAGUGCAGCGGCUAUGAUACUAAUGCUGUCACAUUAGAGAUAUUUUAUUUAUAAUUUUAUUAUUUAAUAUUAUAAGUUUCCCUUACUUUUUGACUAAAAAAUAUGUUCAAAUUUAGAACUAGUGAUCCAGCUUGUUUUAGGCAUGCUCUUAAGCAACAUGUUUGCUUAAGGGAAGUUGGUGUUAACUGGUUGUAAAAGCAAAUUUUUGUAUCGUCUAUAUAUAGCAAUGAAAAUAUAGACUUUGAUCUCUUCUUCCUCAAAUUUCUUGCUCUGUAUUUAUUUUUCAGUCCAACAAGUGGUAGUGGAGUCUUCUCUAAUCUUUGAGAGGCCUGAAUAGUGAGCGACAAAGGAGAGAAAACCAGUCAGAUUCCCUUACACAAACCCAAAGCCAUUUCAACCCCCAUUUGUUAUGGCUUCCAGCAGCUUUGGAACUGGUCCACCACCAGUGUUUGAUGGUCAAAAUUAUCAGCUUUGGGCUGUAAAAAUGAAGACCUAUCUGAGAGGCCUUGAUCUUUGGGAAGUUGUGGAGACUGGAAAUGGUCCUCUACCAUUGAGAGCCAACCCCACUGUGACUCAGAUGAAGCAUCAUGCAUAAGAGAGUUCCAAGAAAUACAAGUCCUUGUCCAUUAUUCAUACUGCAGUGACAGAGACAAUUUUCACAAGAAUUAUGGCUUGUGAAACGGGCAAGGAAGCUUGUGACAAAUUAAAAGAAGAGUCUCAAGGGAGUGAAAAGACCAAGCACAUGCAAGUUUUAAACUUCAAAAAAGAAUAUGAGUUAUUGAAAAUGAAAGAGAGUGGACCAGUAAAAUAGUAUGCUAGUAGGCUUGUGAAAGCAUUAAAUCAAAUCAGGUUGCUUGGGAAGAUUUACCAAAGAGGAGGGUGAUUGAAAGCUGAGUUGGUGAAUGCCUUACAAGCUGUAAAGCAGAGGAAAGCUUAUAGACUUGAAGAUACAAAUGAAAGUGCUCUCCUUGCUAGUAAAAAAAGCUCAGUUAAGUGGAGGAGAAAAGAAGCUUGCUAGCGAUAAAAAGGAAAAGGAGAAGAAAGAUUAUCAAGGCAACAAAGGGAAGUACCAGCCAUAUUCACAUUGCAACAAAAAGGGACACUCUGAAAAUUACUUCUGGUAUAGGCCUAGAGAGCAAUGCAGAACAUGCAAGCAAUUUGGGCAUGUUGAAAAAGUGUGCAAGGCCAAAGUGAUGUGGCCCAACCGUAAGUGCACAGAUUGCACAAGUAGUACAAAAAAAGAUAUCGUUCCCACGGAGAGUUGUGUUAGUGAUUGAAUUGUUGAUGUAAAAUUAAUUGAUUAUAGUUAAAAUUAAACUAAAAAGGUAAUAAAAGGAAGAGCAUGAAAUUUACGAAUAUAAUUAUAAUUUCAACUAAGAAAUAACCUAAAUGGGAAUCCAACUAUGUUUAUAAGAAAUAAACCCUUCAAAAUUAAGCGUGGUAAAAAUUUAAUUGAUAAUCAAUCAAACUCAAAUAACAAUCAACGCAACUCAACUAAACUAAGCCUUUAUCCCAAAAAUUUGGGGUCGGCUAUAUGGAUUUUCUUUCUCCACUCUAAACGAUUUUGGGUUAAAUUCUUGAAAAUGUGUAAUGCUUCUAGGUUAUGUUGUACUACUCUCUUCCAAGUCAGUUUAGGUCUACCCCUUCUUUUAUUUCCAUCCUCUAACCUAAUGUGCUCUACUUGUCUAACUGUAGCCUCCGUAUGUUUACGCUUCACAUUACCAAACCACCUCAAUCUGCCUUCUCUCAACUUAUCCUCAAUUGGCACCACUCCUACCUUUUAUCUAAUACUCUCAUUACGAACUUUAUCUAGUCUAGUAUGAUCACUCAUCCACCUUAACAUUCUUAUCUCCGCAACUCUUAUCUUAGACACAUAUGACUCCUUCAGUGCCCAACACUCACUACCAUAUAAUAUGGCCGGUCGUAUGGCUGUACGGUAAAAUUUUCAUUUCAAUUUAUUGGGAAUCUUGCGAUCACAUAAAACUCUAGUGGCACGUCUUUACUUCAACCAUUCGGUUUUAAUCCUAUGACUAAUAUUCUCCUCACAUCCCCCAUCUAUUUGAAGGACUGAGCCGAGAUAUUUAAAUUGAUUAUUUUGGGACAGUACCACUCCAUCCAAACUAACUCAUUCCCUAUCACUAGUUCGGCCGUCACUGAACUUGCAAUGCAUGUAUUAUCUAUUCGUUCUACUUAACUUAAAGCCCUUUGACUCUAGGGUACUUCUCUAAAACUCUAACUUUCUAUUUACUACUUCUUGCGUUUCAUCUAUCUGAACUAUAUCAUCCGCAAACAUCAUGCACCAAGGUAUACUCUCUUGUAUAUGUUUCGUCAAUUCAUCUAAAACUAAUGUAAAUAGGUAAGUGCUUACAGCUGAACCUUGGUGUAAUCCAACUGAGAUAGGAAAAUCUUUUGUGUCCUCUCCCACUGUGCGCACAAUAGUAGUUGCUCCUUCAUACAUAUCUUUCAAUACUUGUAUGUACCUAAUAGAUACCCUCUUUUGUUCUAACACUCUCCAUAAGACAUCUCUUGAAAUACUAUCAUAUGCCUUCUCCAAAUCGAUAAAAACCAUGUAUAGAUCUUUCUUCACAUCUCUAUAUUUCUCCAUCAAGCUUCUAAUGAGAAAGAUCGCUUCCAUCAACUAACAAUCAAUGAUAAUAAAAUGAUUCCGGAGUUUAGGGGUUUAUAUUCAAGCUAUUUUCGGAUUUUAAAUUGGUUAUCCAAACACAUGGGAAUUAUGGAUUUCAAGGAGAUCAAUUCUUAAAUCCUUUGAAUACUCUUUCGAGUGCCUUAAUUAACUCAAUCCUACUUUCGUGGAGUUGAGAUUACUUAAAACCCAUUAGGUUCCUUAAUCAAUCUAUUAAUCUUCUUAAUCCUUAGUCUAUUUCUAGAUCCAAGUUAAUUAAGUCAAAUUUAUUGAUUAUCUAUCUCAAGGUUUUCUCCAUUCGGUGCUUCAACCAAGGAUUAUGAACAUUACUACACUAAGCAUGUCAUUGAGCGCACAAGAAAUGGAUGAAACCUCAUAAAAAUCAUAUAAUAUGGAUUACCCAAUUAAAAUCCACAAAAUAUCUUAAAUGUUACAUACCUAAACUCCAGAAUCCUUGAAAACUACUCACUACCCAUAUUUAAUACAAAAGAUUCUAAGUAAAUAUAGAAAUAAAUCUAGGAAAUAAACUAAGAACUAAGAAACCCAGUAAAGGAAAGGUAGAAAAUGAUGAAGAAAAAAAGAAGUUUCCAAAUCUGGUGCAGGAGCAAAAUGCUGGCUGCUUCCUCUCUCUUGCCUUGUCUGCGUUUUUUUUCUUUUCCUCUGUUUUUCUGUCUCUACAAAUGAGGUAAAAAUUCUCUAUUUAUAUUCUCUGACAAAGAAAACCUAAAAUGGUGUGUGUGGUCAUUGAUUCACGUGGGAGAAUCUUUUCUUUCCAGCUCAUUUAUGAAAAAAUGCACAGGUCAUGCAAGAUUUGGUGUGAAUCUGGCAGUUACAGGGGCUUCCUGUGAGGUUGCACAAGUUAUGCGGGCUGCCCGUGCAAGUUUUUGCAUGUUUUGAAGCUUCCCGUGAAAGUGCAUAUGUGGACUGUACAAGUUAUGCGGCAAGUUAUGCAAGUUUCGGCCAUUUGGGAAUAUGAGGACACCUAAUAAACUCCAGCUUAUCUAUACUAAUGUGUGUGGCAAAGUAGUGUGGCAUUCCCAACAAAUCAAGCUUGGAGAGCAUCUAAUAAACUCCAGCUUAUUCAUACUGAUGUGUGUGGCCCUAUGAGGACACCUUCUCUUAAUGGAAGCAAGUAUUUCUUGCUAUUCAUUGAUGAUUACAAUAGAAUGUGUUGGGUGUUCUUUUUAAAAUUGAAGUAUGAGUUGUUCUUUAACUUUCAAAGAUUUAAGUCUUUGGUGGAGAAUCAAUGCAACAAGAAAAUCAAGGUGUUGAGAUUAGAUAAUGGGCCUGAGUUUACUUCACAUGAAUUUGAGAAGUUUCUUCAAGUGGCUGGCAUUCUUCAUCAAUUAACAAUUUCAUAUAUUCCACAGCAAAAUGGAGUGUGCGAAAGAAAAAAUAGGUCAAUUUUGAACAUGGCCAGAUGUUUGUUUUUUGAGAAGCAGCUUCCAAGAAGAUUUUAGGCAAAAUCAGUCAACACUUUAGCGUUCUUGCUUAAGAAGCUACCAACUAAAGCUUUGAAAGAUAAAACUCCAUAUGAGAUGUGGUUUGGAGUUGAGCCUUCUGUUAAGCAUCUCUGAAUCUUUGGUUGUUUAUGCUAUAACCAAGUUCCUGAGGUGAAAAGAGAUAAAUUAGAUGAAAGGGCUAAAGUUGGUGUCUUUAUUGGCUAUAGCAAUCAGUCAAAAGGCUAUAGCAAUCAGUCAAAAGGCUAUAGAGUUUGGAAUUUGAAGUCUAAAAAAAUUGUUGUGAGUAGAAAUGUCAAGUUUGUAGAAGAAUCUUCUUGGGAUUGGGAGAAGUUUGUUGUUUUCUCUUCCAAACAAAUUUCAAUUGAGAAUGUUACUUAAGAAUCAGAAGCAACUGAUGAAGGUGACGGCUAUGAUUCAAAAGAUGUAGAUGAUGAAGCUAUUAGAGGAACAAGAAGAUUGACUAGUUGUAAGUGAACCAGCCAACUAUGUGGAAGAAAAAAAAUCUCAGGAAUAGAGAGCAACAAUGUAGGAGGAGUUUAAUAUGAUUUGCAAAAGUAAUACACGGUGCCUUGUUGAUAGACCGGUUGGAAAGUGUUAAAUGGGUUUAUAGACUAAAGUUAAAUCCUAAUGGUACUAUUAAUAAGUAUAAAGCUAGGCUUGUUGUAAAGGGUUACUUUUAACAAUAUGGAUGGGAUUUUAUAGAAACAUUUGCACCAGUGGCUAAAUUUGACUCUAUCAUAUUGCUUAUUGCUCUUACAGCUCAUAAGUGUAGGGAUGUUUUCCAAUUGGAUGUAAAAUCUGCCUUCUCAAACGGUCACUUGCAGGAGGAGAUUUUUAUUGAGCAACCUAAAGGCUUUAUACAGAAAGAGAGUGAGGAUAAGGUUUAUUUGUUGAAGAAGGCCUUAUAUGGCCUAAAACAGGUACUAAGAGCCUGGUAUUGUAGAAUUGAUGAUCAUCUAAAGAAGUUGGGGUUCAUCAAGAUUUGCAAUGAGGCUACAUUGUUUGUAAAGGAUAAGAAUAGAGAUUUUUAUUGGAAAUCCGGAUCUAAUCCCUGUAUUAUAGGGAUUGUUAUUUCUUUCCUUUAUUGUAUUUAGUGUUUCCUACUUUUUAUUAAUUUCCUAAUCUUUUUAGACUUCUUGUAUAGUGAGAAUUCUUUUGUAUAAAUAGAGACCUGUACAAAGUAAAUAUAUAUAUUGAAAUACACAGAAAAUUCCUCCAAAUCCUAUUAUUUUAUCAUGGUAUCAAAGCUAAGCCAACCUUUUUUGGCAUAAAUUUGCACUUCAAAAAAGAUAUAGGGUUUUUAGGGUUCUUGGGUCAAGCUUCUAAACGUUUGCCUACAAGUGGGAGUUGUUGGUGCUGCCGAUCGGCCUUUUCCCAAAAGAAUCGCAUUGUCCGAUGAAGCGCAUGGUCUCACAUAGGGCUGUGCACGGUUCUUGGGAGAAUUGAACCAAACUAAAAUUUUUUUGAUACUUUGGUUUGGUAAUAAUUCUUCACUAAGAACUAAACUAAAACCGUACUGA